GUCAUAAAACCAUCUGAUAAAGGUGGCAAUGUCGUCCUGUGGCCUAGAUCGAUGUAUGAGAAAGAAGCAAGUAGACAGCUAAGGGAUAAUGUAUGUUACAAACGCCUUACCUUCAACCCACUUUCCAAGUAUAAACAGGAACUUGCUGCUAUCUUGGAAUUAGGUGUGGAGGAGGGUGUUAUCACCCAAAAACUAUUUUCAUACCUGUUACCAGAACACCAUGCGGUAGCCACACUAUAUUUGCUCCCCAAAAUCCACAAAGGAUUGGAAAAUCCACCUGGUCGCCCAAUUGUGUCAAGCAAUAACUCUCUUUCUGAACCCAUUUGUAGAUACAUUGAUCAUUUUCUUAAACCCAUCGUUGAAUCCCUACCUUCCUACCUACGAGACACAAUGGACAUCCUGAGACGGCUAGAUGGUAUCCAAUUGGAUCAAGAUGCCCUUUUGGUAACGUGUGACGUUGAAGCCUUAUAUACGUCCAUCCGUCAUGCAAACAGUCUUGAAGCAGUGGAGAUGUUCCUUUUGAUGACUGACCUCGAACCAGAAAUUUGUCAAUUUCUCAGGAUGAAGCGCAUCUGUUCAUCGGAUACAUUCUUUGAGGAACAGGCUAAGGACCUCACCAAUCGAUUCAAGGAAAGAGGAUAUAGACAGCAGGAUAUAUCUAAAGCAUACUAAAGAGUAAAGAAUACCCCCAGGAACAAUUUGUUGAUGAACCCAAGUGGAAAACCCCGGAUAACCAGGGAGCUACGGAGAAGAGUGAGGGAACAUGUUCUGAGCAUUGAAGCAGCAAAGAAUGAACAGGAUGUCACCAAGCUCAAGACAUUGGCCAUUCACUUUAAAGAACAUCAUGCAUGCAAUGGACAGCUACUGAAGGUACCUGGCAUGUCUGCGGAUUCUGAGUUCAGUGCUGGACUAUUUGCAACGAUUCAUAUCACACCAUUAUUAUUUUUGUAAUAUACUCUACUCUUUCACAUAUUCACUUCACACACAUAUAUAUGUAUAAAUACACCUAAUAUGGAUACACUUACAUGCACUUAUCUGCAUAUGCUCACAUGCACUUUAUUUAUUAUACAUUUAUGUGUCAUUUUUAAUCCUAAAUCUAUUCAUCAUCAUGUAGUAUUAUUAUUACAUUUUAUUUUGUGUCUUUCAUUGUGUUUCACGUUUUCACUGGCAUGAUCACUUUAUUUUAUUUUGGGCAUGAGCACUGUGCACUUUUUUCUCCUCACUAUGUGUGGUUUGUGUUGUCCAUCCUUUUAACAUAGCGCUCCCAAUACUACCACUAUUAGUAUAUAUGCGCCCGUUGAGUACGGGCUGAUCCUUUCCACGCACGCGCAGCUUACCUAUUAGUCUGUGCAAGCGCUGGAUUCCCUUACCAGUUUCAGCUUCUUGUGUUCACUGCGCGUGCGCCCGCUACCAUCGUGGUGACGUCAAUACGUACGCACUCCGGUGGUGCCGUGCGCAUGCACGGUCGAACACAAGAUGGCGCAGACCAUUACAUGCCACGCUAACAGCGCGCACAGCUGCACCAGGUAUUGUAUUCAUAUAGAACUUGUUUUAUUGGUCGAUACCAUGUAUAUAAACUUCCGUUUACCCUCCAUAUGACACUCCCUGAGGAAGCGAGUGAGAGAAACGACGUAGGGGUAGGCUCCGGACUCAUGUAAGUAUAGCUGGGUGUCAGAUGGCCAGGUGCAUGGAAAGUCUUAUAUGUUUAUUUCUAUCACAGGGACAAUUGAUGCUCCAACUCUGAUUGAGGUGGUUUCCUUCCCCUCAGAUAUGUAUGGUUAACAUCCUUAUCUCCCUGCAUUUAUACUGCCGAUAGCACUGGGCAAUUGACACUUUACAUGCUAUGCUUCUAUAUGUGUCCUUUCUGUUUACAUUAGUGAACUGGGUUUACUGAGGCAUCUUUAGGUGUAUUCCUAUACAUAUGUAUUGUGGCUUGUUCCUAAGUCCACCUCUUAUUGAGUAUCAUAUGCUUAUAUUUAUGUGCCAUUCCAUGUACUUAUUGGACAUUAUGUGAUAUUUGUGUUUGGAGUCCUUUUCUU